UGGGGAAUUUUGGACAAUGGGCGAAAGCCUGAUCCAGCAAUGCCGCGUGUGUGAAGAAGGCCUUCGGGUUGUAAAGCACUUUUGUCCGGAAAGAAAUCCUCUGGGUUAAUACCUCGGGGGGAUGACGGUACCGGAAGAAUAAGCACCGGCUAACUCUGUGCCAGCAGCCGCGGUAAGACAGAGGGUGCAAACGUUGUUCGGAAUUACCGGGCGUAAAGCGCGUGUAGGCGGUCGUGCAAGUCGGGGGUGAAAGCCCAGAGCUCAACCCUGGAAGUGCGUUCGAUACUGCAUGGGUAGAGUCCAAGAGAGGACGGUGGAACGCUGGGUGUAGAGGUGAAACUAGUAGAGAGCGAGAAGAACAGCGGUGGCGAAGGCGGCCAUCUGGACGGUGACUGACGCUGAGACGCGAAAGCGUGGGGAGCAAACA
rnacentral:rRNA from 1 species